GUAGUCCACGCCGUAAACUAUGGAUGCUAGCUGUUAUAGGUAUCGACCCCUGUAGUAGCGAAGCUAACGCGUUAAGCAUCCCGCCUGUGGAGUACGGUCGCAAGACUAAAACAUAAAGGAAUUGACGGGGACCCGCACAAGCGGUGGAGCGUGUUGUUUAAUUCGAUGGUAAGCGAAGAACCUUACCCAGGUUUGACAUCCUCGGAAUUUUUGCGAAAGCAGAGAGUGCCUUUUGGAACCGAGUGACAGGUGCUGCAUGGCCGUCGUCAGCUCGUGUCGUGAGAUGUUUGGUUAAGUCCAUCAACGAGCGCAACCCUUAUAGUCUGUUGUAUUUUUCAGGCUAGACUGCCCUGGCAACAGGGA
rnacentral:rRNA from 1 species